GUCACAUUCCCAUUGGUGCCCUCAGACUUACGGUGAGGUUCUUGCUCAUCAUAAACAGCAAUCAGCUUAUCUUUGUCUUCCACAACGUCUGCCAGCACAUCAUCAGGGUCCAGGAUUCCUCCAUCUGUAUACUCCAGGUGGUGAAUAUUCACCCAGUAAGUUGGAUCCUUCUCCUGGGCCUUGCGGUAGCGCUGCAGGGCCUGCUGGGUCAGGUCCCGCACGCGGAGCUGCCCGUCCUUGCAGGGCACCACGAUCCCGGUCCUCCCGAAGCACACGGUCACUUUCAUCUCAGCGCCGCGCCAUGCCCCGCCGGCCCCGCCAGAAACGCGGCCCGGCCCGGCCCGGGGGCGGCGCAGGUGCGGUCCGGGAGCGCCGGCAGGUGCGUGGCUCCGGCCCCGCGGCGAGGGCGGGCCGGCAGGUGCGCGCGGUGCCCCGGGGCCGCGCACGGGCAGCGCCGGGAGCGAGGCCGCGGCCGGCGGCCUCCUUCCGCCGCGGCGGGCCGCUGUGCCCGCCCCUCCCCGCCCGGCUUCUCUCCGGGGAGGCGCGGGCCGAGCCGGGCCGGGCGGGGCGGCCCCUCGCGGCGGGGGCGCGGCGGGGUUCGGCUCGGGGCGACGGGGCGCGGCGACGGGCCGUGAGGGAACGGCGGCGGG
rnacentral:lncRNA from 1 species